rnacentral:rRNA from 1 species
UACGAAGGGGGCGAGCGUUGUUCGGAAUUACUGGGCGUAAAGGGCGCGCAGGCGGUCGUUCAAGUCGAGUGUGAAAGCCCCCGGCUCAACUGGGGAGGGUCACUCGAUACUGAUCGACUCGAAGGCAGAAGAGGGAAGCGGAAUUCCCGGUGUAGUGGUGAAAUGCGUAGAUAUCGGGAGGAACACCAGUGGCGAAGGCGGCUUUCUGGUCUGCUCUUGACGCUGAGGCGCGAAAGCUAGGGUAGCAAACGGG